UCUCUCAUAGUAUAGCGGGCCAAGUACACACACCUGAUGUCCUGAAGACAAGGUCCAAGCAUUCCGUGUGAGAUCUGGGUUCGAUUCCCAGUGAGAGAG